AGAGUUUGAUCCUGGCUCAGAUUGAACGCUGGCGGCAGGCCUAACACAUGCAAGUCGAGCGGAUGAGUGGAGCUUGCUCCAUGAUUCAGCGGCGGACGGGUGAGUAAUGCCUAGGAAUCUGCCUGGUAGUGGGGGACAACGUUUCGAAAGGAACGCUAAUACCGCAUACGUCCUACGGGAGAAAGUGGGGGAUCUUCGGACCUCACGCUAUCAGAUGAGCCUAGGUCGGAUUAGCUAGUUGGUGAGGUAAAGGCUCACCAAGGCGACGAUCCGUAACUGGUCUGAGAGGAUGAUCAGUCACACUGGAACUGAGACACGGCCCAGACUCCUACGGGAGGCAGCAGUGGGGAAUAUUGGACAAUGGGCGAAAGCCUGAUCCAGCCAUGCCGCGUGUGUGA
rnacentral:rRNA from 1 species